GAGUUUGAUCAUGGCUCAGAUUGAACGCUGGCGGCAGGCCUAACACAUGCAAGUCGAGCGGUAGAGAGAAGCUUGCUUCUCUUGAGAGCGGCGGACGGGUGAGUAAUGCCUAGGAAUCUGCCUGGUAGUGGGGGAUAACGCUCGGAAACGGACGCUAAUACCGCAUACGUCCUACGGGAGAAAGCAGGGGACCUUCGGGCCUUGCGCUAUCAGAUGAGCCUAGGUCGGAUUAGCUAGUUGGUGAGGUAAUGGCUCACCAAGGCGACGAUCCGUAACUGGUCUGAGAGGAUGAUCAGUCACACUGGAACUGAGACACGGUCCAGACUCCUACGGGAGGCAGCAGUGGGGAAUAUUGGACAAUGGGCGAAAGCCUGAUCCAGCCAUGCCGCGUGUGUGAAGAAGGUCUUCGGAUUGUAAAGCACUUUAAGUUGGGAGGAAGGGCAGUAAAUUAAUACUUUGCUGUUUUGACGUUACCGACAGAAUAAGCACCGGCUAACUCUGUGCC
rnacentral:rRNA from 1 species